GAUGAACGCUGGCGGCGUGCCUAAUACAUGCAAGUCGAGCGAACAGACGAGGAGCUUGCUCCUCUGACGUUAGCGGCGGACGGGUGAGUAACACGUGGAUAACCUACCUAUAAGACUGGGAUAACUUCGGGAAACCGGAGCUAAUACCGGAUAAUAUAUUGAACCGCAUGGUUCAAUAGUGAAAGACGGUUUUGCUGUCACUUAUAGAUGGAUCCGCGCCGCAUUAGCUAGUUGGUAAGGUAACGGCUUACCAAGGCAACGAUGCGUAGCCGACCUGAGAGGGUGAUCGCCCACCCUGGAACUGAGACACGGUCCAGACUCCUACGGGAGGCAGCAGUAGGGAAUCUUCCGCAAGGGGCGAAAGCCUGACGGAGCAACGCCGCGUGAGUGAUGAAGGUCUUCGGAUCGUAAAACUCUGUUAUUAGGGAAGAACAAAUGUGUAAGUAACUAUGCACGUCUUGACGGUACCUAAUCAGAAAGCCACGGCUAACUACGUG
rnacentral:rRNA from 1 species